rnacentral:rRNA from 1 species
AUUGAACGCUGGCGGCAGGCCUAACACAUGCAAGUCGAGCGGUAGAGAGAAGCUUGCUUCUCUUGAGAGCGGCGGACGGGUGAGUGAUGCCUAGGAAUCUGCCUGGUAGUGGGGGAUAACGUUCGGAAACGGACGCUAAUACCGCAUACGUCCUACGGGAGAAAGCAGGGGACCUCCGGGCCUUGCGCUAUCAGCUGAGCCUAGGUCGGAUUAGCUAGUUAGUGGGGUAAUGGCUCACCAAGGCGACGAUCCGUAACUGGUCUGAGAGGAUGAUCAGUCACACUGGAACUGAGACACGGUCCAGACUCCUACGGGAGGCAGCAGUGGGGAAUAUUGGACAAUGGGCGAAAGCCUGAUCCAGCCAUGCCGCGUGUGUGAAGAAGGUCUUCGGAUUGUAAAGCACUUUAAGUUGGGAGGAAGGGCAGUAAAUUAAUACUUUGCUGUUUUGACGUUACCGACAGAAUAAGCACCGGCUAACUCUGUGCCAGCCGCCGCAGUAA